GAGUUUGAUCGUGGCUCAGAUUGAACGCUGGCGGCAGGCUUAACACAUGCAAGUCGAGCGGGGGAGGUUGCUUCGGUAACUGACCUAGCGGCGGACGGGUGAGUAAUACUUAGGAAUCUGCCUAUUAAUGGGGACAACAUCUCGAAAGGGAUGCUAAUACCGCAUACGCCCUACGGGGAAAGCAGGGGAUCACUUGUGACCUUGCGUUAAUAGAUGAGCCUAAGUCGGAUUAGCUAGUUGGUGGGUAAAGGCCUACCAAGGCGACGAUCUGUAGCGGGUCUGAGAGGAUGAUCCGCCACACUGGGACUGAGACACGGCCCAGACUCCUACGGGAGGCAGCAGUGGGGAAUAUUGGACAAAUGGGGGGAACCCCUGAUCCAGCCAUGCCGCGUGUGUGAAGAAGGCCUUAUGGUUGUAAAGCACUUUAAGCGAGGAGGAGGCUCUUCUAGUUAAUACCUAGGAUGAGUGGACGUUACUCGCAGAAUAAGCACCGGCUAACUCUGUGCCA
rnacentral:rRNA from 1 species